rnacentral:rRNA from 1 species
UACGUAGGGGGCAAGCGUUUGUCCGGAAUCAUUGGGCGUAAAGCGCGUGUAGGCGGCCCGGUAAGUCCGCUGUGAAAGUCGGGGGGCUCAACCCUCGAAUGCCGGUGGAUACUGUCGGGCUAGAGUGCGGGAGAGGCGAGUGGAAUUCCUGGUGUAGCGGUGAAAUGCGCAGAUAUCAGGAGGAACACCGAUGGCGAAGGCAGGUCUCUGGGCAUUAACUGACGCUGAGGAGCGAAAGCAUGGGGGAGCAAACAGG